GAUGAAUGCUGGCGGCGUGCCUAAUACAUGCAAGUCGAGCGAACGGACGAGAAGCUUGCUUCUCUGAUGUUAGCGGCGGACGGGUGAGUAACACGUGGAUAACCUACCUAUAAGACUGGGAUAACUUCGGGAAACCGUAGCUAAUACCGGAUAAUAUUUUGAACCGCAUGGUUCAAAAGUGAAAGACGGUCUUGCUGGCAGUUAUAGAUGGAUCCGCGCUGCAUUAGCUAGUUGGUAAGGUAACGGCUUACCAAGGCAACGAUGCAUAGCCGACCUGAGAGGGUGAUCGGCCACCCUGGAACUGAGACGCGGUCCAGACUCCUACGGGAGGCAGCAGUAGGGAAUCUUCCGCAAUGGGCGAAAGCCUGACGGAGCAACGCCGCGUGAGUGAUGAAGGUCUUCGGAUCGUAAAGCUCUGUUAUUAGGGAAGAACAUAUGUGUAAGUAACUGUGCACAUCUUGACGGUACCUAAUCAGAAAGCCACGGCUAACUACGUG
rnacentral:rRNA from 1 species